AGGACUUCAUUUUUUUUUUUUUAAUUUGACAUGCCCAUGGCAUGUCAAAAUCCCAGUCCAGGGAUUGAACCUGUGUCGUAGCUGUGACCUGAGCCACUGCAGUGACAACACUGGAUCCUUAACCCAUUGUGCCAUCAAGGAAUACUGGAAGAUAAAGACCCUUUGUGUACUUACCAUUUUAAGGAAAACAAGCCCCAUGGAUUGCAAGACUACAGUGCUUCACAAACAGUGGAGCACUAUUCCCAAACGAUAUUGGGAAAGAUGAGUUUUGUAGAGUUAGAAGCCGCAACACAGAGACACGGCAUGAUUUGCUUGCGUUGCACAUCUGACCUUUUAAGAUGACAAAAAAGAGCUGCCAAAGUGAAGGAGCAGGAUGGAGCAUGAACGGGAGGAAAUGGAUGACUAGGAACUGCUUUCCUUAAGAAACAGGAGUUUUAUGGUCCCAGAACAAACAUUAUUUUUAGAUUGGUGAAAUAUGUGUUUUUAACAGAUGCCUUUUGUGCCCUCUGUCACAUCCCCUCAAGCCUGCCUCUGAAUUGAACAAGUUAUGGUGGACACCUUCUAGGCUAGUACCACGGCCCCACCUCAAGUGACUCCCAGGUCUCUCUGUUUUUAUAUGUCAGGCUUUUUGCAAGCAUAGGAUCAGUCAGUCAGGAGCAAGAAAGUGUGGAAUUGCAGAGGAAUUAAUGCCUCUGGGAGCAACCUUCAACUAGUGGAGAAGAGGAGCUGAUGGACAUACCCCAUCCUCCUUCAUGUUGAGUGAAGUUCUAAGAUCAUGGGUGCUCAGAGGAUCCCCAGCUGUAUGGAGCCCCGGCUGUCCACAUUAAUCAGCUUCCUCUCACAUCCUUUGCUGGCUUUCUCUUUUUCUCUUUCUCACUGUUCACUGUCACUCCUGCUUCUGGGCUUCACUUCCGAAAUAAACCACCUGCACCAAAUCUUCAUUUUAGCCUCAGCUUUGUGAAGGAAACUUAUCACCAUUCCCAUAAGGAAGUAUGUGCUUUUUUUUUUUUUUUUUUUUGGUCUUGUUUUAGGGCCACACCUGCAGCAUAUGGAAGUUCCCAUACUAGGGGUCAAAUCAGAGCUACAGUUUCUGGUCUACACCACAGCCACAGCAAUGCCAGAUUGGAGCCACGUCUGCAAUCUACACCACAGCUCACAGCAAUGCCAGAUCCUCAACCCACUGAGGGAGGCCAGGGAUGUGUACUCAUGGAUCCUAGUCGAGUUUGUUACCACUGAGCUACAGUGGGAACUCCAGAAGUAGGUACUUUUUAAAGAAAAUCAUAUUUGAGUAACAAAAAGCCUAAAGAACUUACAUCAAGGCCCUUGAAAAGAAGCUGAGAUAAUAAGGUCUGAGCCCCACUGCAUGAAUGGAUUGUAACCAAAUGCUAAUUUAUAAAUCAGUUGUUUUAAGCCUGGAGUAUAUUUCCUACUGGAAACAUAUCACAGUGAUGCCUAAGUUCCCAGUUAACAAAAAUGAAUUAAACUUGUGAAUAAAAAAUUAAUUAACAAAUGUAAUUUACUUUAUCAUAUUUUAUGGAAUCACAUUGUAUUAGCCAGCUCAGGUUACCACAAUGAAAUACCAAAGACUGUGGGGCUUAAACAACAGAAAUGUAUUUUCUCACCGUUUUGGAGGCCAGAAGUCCACGACCAAGGUGUUUGCACUGUUGGUUUCUUCUGAGGUCUCUACCCUUGGCUUAUAGAUAGCUAGUUGUCUUUCCCCUGUAAUUUCACAUGUUUUUCUCUCUGUGUCUAUCAAAAUCUCUUCUUUCUAUAAAGAUACCAGGCAUAUUGGAUUAGCAUCCCCAAAUUAUCUCAUUUUCAUUCAGUUACAUCUUUUAAGACCUUAUCUCCAAAUGCCUUCACACUCCAAAUGCCUUCACAUUUUGAGGUAUUUGGAGUUAGGACUUCAACAUAAGAAUUUGGGGAGAGGGAUCCAAUUCAGCCCAUAGCACACGUUUAUCUUUAAAAUCACCAAGUUACAAAUUAUUUAAUACAUAUAAAUAAAUCAUAAACAUCAAUGAAAUCACAAUUCAUCUUAAGAAUCAGAGAACUGUAGAUAACUUUGCAAUCACCUGUGUUCUCUUCCCCAUCACCCUCUUUCCCUCCAAGAAGCACACUUCAUACUGAAUUUUAUUGACUAUUUGCUUUUUAAUAGAUUUAUGACAUACAAAUGUAUAAUUAAGCAAUGCAUUCUGUUUUUUUAAAGCUUUGUAUUUUAAAGAUACAAGUAGCAUCUUUUGGUAUAUAGUUUAAUACAAUGUGCUUUUCCCUCUCAAUAUUAUGUGUCUAAGAUUCACCCAUACUGAAGCAUGAGUGAAUAUACAAUUUCACUACUGUAUAAUAUUCCAUUAGGUGACAUAUACACAUAUGUAUUAAUUCUCCUGCUGAUAGAAUUUAGGUUUUUUCAGGUUUUUUUUUUUUUAAUUACCUAUAAUGCUCUUGUUGUAAUGCUCUUUUACAUGUGGAAGACAGAUGCUUUAUACCUAGGAGUGAAAUUGCUGGGUUAUAGAUAAUGUGAUAAUUCACUUGAACAAGAUAGUACCAAACUGUUUUCCAGAGUAGUAAUGACAAUAGAUGUUCCUAUGAACAGUGUCUAAGACCCUUGAUGAUUUGUAUUGUGGCCAAUACAUGAUAUGUCAGGUUUGUAAAUUUAUGCCAAUGAUGAUAUGAUGUCAAAUGAUAGCAAAUUGUUUAUAAUUUACAUUUUCCUAACAACUAAUAAUUGUUAUGAACCUAUUUUAUUAUGUUUAUGAGUUAUGCAUGUUUUCUCUUCCAUGAAAUACCUGUUUGCUUUGGGAGGGGAUUUUCUACUGAAUCUUCUUUUGUCUUCUUUUUAUUUAUGAGAGUUUUUCUGUACUUAGUUACUAAUCCUUUUCUGCCUAUUUGUUGAAAAUGUCUUCUUUCAAUUUGUAAUAUCUUUUUAUUUCCUUUAUGUGCAUUUUGAUGAAUAGAUAUUCUUAAUUUAAUAUAGUUGGACUUUGCAGUCUCUUCUUUUAUAAUUAUUAUUUUGUGUGCAUUGCUUAACUAUUUCCCUACCCAGAGGUCAUAUUUUCUCCUAAGCUUUUUGUUUUAUGGAUAUUUCUUUUUAUGUCUUAUUUAAGAAAUCCUUUCUCAUGAUAUCAUAAAUAUAUUUCUUCUAAAAUAUUUAUGGUUUAUCCUUUAUAUUUAUAUUUUUAUUUCUUCAGUAAUAAACUUUUGCAUAUGGU
rnacentral:lncRNA from 9 species